rnacentral:rRNA from 1 species
UAACUACCACAACCGCACAACCUCUUAGGGCCCUGUAUAGUUGGUUUUAGGUUGGGGCGACCACGGAGUACAACCAAACCUCCGCAAUGGACGGGACCACUCCCUUAUCUAAGAGCCACACCUCUAAGAAUUAAAACACUAACAUAAAAUGAUCCAUGAUCUGAUCAAUGAACCAAGUUACCCUGGGGAUAACAGCGCAAUCCAUUUCAAGAGCCCUUAUCGACAAGUGGGUUUACGACCUCGAUGUUGGAUCAGGGUAUCCUAGUGGUGCAGCAGCUACUAAUGGUUCGUUUGUUCAACGAUUAAAACCCU